rnacentral:rRNA from 1 species
CAGGAUGAACGCUGGCGGCGUGCCUAAUACAUGCAAGUCGAGCGAAUGGAUUGAGAGCUUGCUCUCAAGAAGUUAGCGGCGGACGGGUGAGUAACACGUGGGUAACCUGCCCAUAAGACUGGGAUAACUCCGGGAAACCGGGGCUAAUACCGGAUAACAUUUUGAACUGCAUGGUUCGAAAUUGAAAGGCGGCUUCGGCUGUCACUUAUGGAUGGACCCGCGUCGCAUUAGCUAGUUGGUGAGGUAACGGCUCACCAAGGCAACGAUGCGUAGCCGACCUGAGAGGGUGAUCGGCCACACUGGGACUGAGACACGGCCCAGACUCCUACGGGAGGCAGCAGUAGGGAAUCUUCCGCAAUGGACGAAAGUCUGACGGAGCAACGCCGCGUGAGUGAUGAAGGCUUUCGGGUCGUAAAACUCUGUUGUUAGGGAAGAACAAGUGCUAGUUGAAUAAGCUGGCACCUUGACGGUACCUAACCAGAAAGCCACGGCUAACUACGUGCCAGCAGCCGCGGUAAUACGUAGGUGGCAAGCGUUAUCCGGAAUUAUUGGGCGUAAAGCGCGCGCAGGUGGUUUCUUAAGUCUGAUGUGAAAGCCCACGGCUCAACCGUGGAGGGUCAUUGGAAACUGGGAGACUUGAGUGCAGAAGAGGAAAGUGGAAUUCCAUGUGUAGCGGUGAAAUGCGUAGAGAUAUGGAGGAACACCAGUGGCGAAGGCGACUUUCUGGUCUGUAACUGACACUGAGGCGCGAAAGCGUGGGAGCAAACAGGA